rnacentral:pre_miRNA from 1 species
CAUCUACUCCCUCCGUUCGGAAUUACUUGUCGUGGAAAUGGAUGUAUCUAGAUGUAUUUUAGUUCUAGAUACAUCCAUUUCCGAGACAAGUAAUUCCGAACAGAGGAAGUAUAUU